ACGCUCGACACCUACGGGAUGCAGCAGUGGGGAAUAUUGCACAAUGGAGGAAACUCUGAUGCAGCGAUGCCGCGUGAGGGAAGAAGGUUUUCGGAUUGUAAACCUCUGUCUUUGGGGACGAUAAUGACGGUACCCAAGGAGGAAGCUCCGGCUAACUACGUGUCAGCAGCCGCGGUAAUCUGAGCGGGCUGGCAAGGC
rnacentral:rRNA from 1 species